GGGGAGCAGAGAACUGCUGCCAGCGGCCAGCCUUCCGGCAGGAGGGGAUCCACAGAGGCCCAUGUCAGGGGCCUCAGCAUCCAGAGGAUCUGCCGACCCCGCCAAAUGGACCUGCAGGACCUGGGGCAGACGCUGCCUCAGCAAUUUGUAGAGAGAUUCACCCCAAACCUCCAGCUCACCAAGUGCAAACGAGUGCCCUUGGCAGGCGGGACUGGUGCACUGCUCCGGGGCCACCUAUUCAGGUCCGCAGUGCUUGGUGAUGGUGUUGGUGGUGAAGAAAUCCUACGAAGCCAACCCUUUGCUGCCAGCCCUGGUUCCUGGCCAGAUCUCUCUAGGCUGGUGCUCUUAUUGGUGCUUCCAUUUGUUUCUUUAACAUGAGGUCCAGAAAAAAAUAAAGACAAACAAGAUGUCCUUGGAUGGCCUGUGCACAGCCCAGGGACUCAGAGUUGCCCUUGGGGAGUGUGUGUUCCCCUCUAAGAGGCUUCUAGCCAGGGACACUCUUUUUUGAAGCAAACAAACAAACAACAACAAAUACAAAACAGAAUUUCAGAUUCCUAUUCCUCCCUCAGGCAAAUAUUUCUUUUCAACUUUGGGGAAUGAUGAAAAUAUUCAAAUACUCAUCUGUUGUUUGCUGGGGGUUCUGCUCUGGGUUCUAAGCACCAGAGAGAUCACACUCUGAAAAUCCGAUUGUGGAAAUGUGCCCCAAGCAGAUGCAGCUGCCUGCCCUGAGCUCUGUGGUUCCUCUGUCGUGCGUGUCCCCUUGUGCCAAGGAGCCCUGUUGGGCUAGGGUGCUGUGGACAAUGAACGCAUCUCAGGAGGAAGAAUAACUGUGCUGCCAUUCAACUUCCACGUGGAUAAAAGUGCAGGAGAGUGUUUUGAAAUAAAGGCAAGACCCAGCUCUGUGAGAAGAGAGAAUGGGUGUGAGCAAAGGAAAGAAGACCUCUGGAGAUAUGGCCCAGAGAAGUGGGUGGGCCAAGACCGUAGGGGUACCAUCAUGGGACUCGUCAUCAUGAUUGUCCUGGAUUGUAGGAUUAGGCUUGAUGUAUUAUUUGUCAUUGAAAUUUUCAUUGAGGUAAUUGUAGAUUGACAUGCAGUUGUAAGAACUACUUUACAGAGCUUCCUCUUACCCUCUGCCCAGUUUCCCCCAGUGGUAACAUUCUGCAAAACUACAACACUACAACCUGGACACAGACAUUGGUACAGCUCAUUGAUCAUACUCAAAGUUCUCAAGUUUUACUUCAGCUCAUUUGCAUGUGUAUAAUUAGUUCUAUACAGUUUAGUCACCUAUGAAGAUUCAUGGAUCUCACCACAGACAAGAUAUAGAACAUUUUUAUCAUCACAGAGGUCCGUGCUAUUGCCCAUCUAUAGUCACACCCAUCCAUUGCUCUCUCUCAUCCAGGUCCCUAACCCCUGGCAACCACUAAGCUGUCCUCCAUUUUUAAAAAAUGAUGUCAUUUCAAAGUGUUUUAUAAGUGGAAUCAUAUGGUAUGGAAGCUUUUGAGAUAGAUUUUUCACUAAGCAUAAUUGGAGCUUCAUCCAAGCUAUUGUGUCCAUAGUUUGCUCCUCUUUAUUGCUGUAUAGUAUUUCACUGUAUGGAUGUACCACUAUUUGUUUAACCACUUGCUCAAGGAAGGACAUCAGGACUGAUUCCAGUGCUUGGCCACUAUAAAGAAAGGUGCCCUGAACAUUUGUGUACAGGUUUUUGUGUGGACCUAAGUUUUCAUUUCUCUGGGAUAAAUGUCCAAGAGUACAAUUAAUUGCUGGUUUGGAUGGUAAUUGUAUGUUGGGUUUCAUAAGAAAUGGCCAAAAUAUUUUCCAGAGGGGUUAGACUAUUUUGCAUUCCCAGCAAGUAUGAGUGAUUCAGUUUCUCUGCAUCCUUGCCAGCAUUUAUUGUUGUCACUAUAUUUCAUUUUGGUUGAUUUGAUAUAUGUUGUACUUAAAUCUUGUUGCAGUGUUAAUUUUCACUUUUAUAAUGGUUAAUGAUGGUAAACAUUCUCUCAUGCACUUGUUCACCAUCAGUAUAUCUUCUUCAGUGAGAUGUAUGUUUAUGUUUUUGCCCAUUUUCUGAUUGGAUUAUUUUUAAUUGUUGCAUUUUGAGAGGUCUUCAUAUAUCCUAAGUACGUCUGUUGUUGGAUAUAUGGCUUGCAAAUACUAUCUCAAAGUCUUUAACUUGUCUUUCCACUCUCUGCACAGGGCCUUUCACAGAGCAAGAGUUUUCAUUUUAAUGAGGUCCAACCUAUUAGUUUUUCUUUUUUGGACUUUAGUUUUGGUGUCAUCCUCAGAACUUUUUGCCUAGCCCUAGGUACCAAAGUUUUCAUCAAAUUUUUUUAAGUUUAAUUAAUAUUUAUGUUUUAAAUAUAAGUCUGUGAUCCAGUUUUAGUUAUUUUUUGGAUAAGUUGUGAGAUUCAUUUUUUUGUAUAUGGAUGUCUAGUUGUUACAGCACCAUUUGUUGAAAAGCUAGUCUCAUGCCACUGAAUUACUUUUGCAUCUUUGCAGAAGUUGGGUAUAUCUGAGUGGAGCUAUUUCUGGACUCUCUGCUCCAUUCCAUCAACCUGAAUGUCUGCACCUCCAUCAAAACCACACUGUCUUGAUGACUGUAGGUACAUGCUGAGCUUUUACAUCAGGUAGAGUGUUUUGUCCCACAUGAUUCUUCUUUGUCAAGGUUAUUUGAGCUACUUUAGGGCUUUGCCUUACCAUAUAACUGUUAGAAUAAGCUUGCCUAUGUCUACAACAAAACCUUGCAGGAAUUAUUUUUAACAAUUUCACUGAAGAGAGAAUUCACAUCCCAUAAAACUGACCCACUGAAAGACUACAAUCUAAUAUUUUCUUGGUAUAUUCACAGGGUUAUGCAGUUGUGCAGAGAAGAGACAACAUAGCAGUACUGAGACUGCUCCUCUUAGCAAGGCCUGCUUGCAAGACUGGCCCAGGGCUGGCAUCUGGGGGCUUGGUUCCCAGGGUGUUCCCAGUCAACAGUUAACUGAUAAGAGUGGUUAACUGUGCCUAGACCAUUUGUGCCAGCAAUACAGUUUCUGCUGAAUAACCUGCUUUCUUUUUGGGAAUCUAUAGUUUUGACACAUGCUAGGAGGAAGGUGCUUAUGUGACCAGCUCCUGGUAAAAACUUUGAGUGGAGAGUCUCUAAUGGGCUACCCUGAGCAAAAACAUCAGCAUGUGUUGCUAUUCUUUUGUUGCUCGGACAGGUGUGCUCUGUAGGACCCCUCAUGGCAGGUAGGGCAAGAGUCAGCCUGCCUGUGGAUUCUUCCAGACUGAUUUUUACCCCCUAUGAUUUGACUGUGUUCCUUACAUCUCUGUAAUAAAUCUUAG